ensembl:lncRNA FTX FTX transcript, XIST regulator
GGCAUCAGCGUUGCGGCUCGAGGCAAAGCUGGUCCUGUGCCUGCUGUCCAUUGCCGCUAAGGCCUGCUGCUGCCAUUCAGGCGUGUCUCUCUCUCUCUCUCUCUUUCAUGCCGCUCUCUCCACCCCAUCUUGGGACGGCCAGCUCUAAGAAUUCCUGCUACGACACUGAAUUCAACCAGGAGGUGAUGCCACACUCAAUCAGAAACUAUGCUACUGCUGAAGAGGUAUAUUGAGCCCUGCCUGGUUAACCUCCAGUGAGGUUAUUAGAGAAUUGGGAGAGGCUCAAAUCAGCAUCCUGCACCUAGUUAUCAAACCAUUGUGAAGUCUUGAUUCCUGGAUGGCCAGAAAACUUGUCAUUGGUCAAGAGCAACAUUAAGAUCUGCCUGUUACUCAUACUGAUGCUUCCUGCCCAGCAAGUUCAUCAGAGGGCGAGGAUGAAUUACGGUUGCCAUGAAUGUCCUUGUGAGGCAGUUGGGAAGCCUUGGCUGGAUUGUGAAGGAUAUUUGAAAAGUAUUUUAGAGUCCACCAGAUCAUCCAUGUGAGUGACCAUGCAGCAAAAGAAGGAGGGUCCUCUCAGUGAUUAAGGCAAGAUAGUGGGCUGUGCUAUUUCAAACCCUAAAUUUGGCUUUCAGGAUUAUGAAGUAUUAAUUCUUCCACUGAUAUCUCAAAAGGUGAUCUGGACAAAGGAACAGGUAUCUCAGCUUCCAAGUUUGCUGGAGCCAUGUUUUCUCUAAUGUCCCCACAGAACAGUGGUUGGUAGGAUGGCGGAGACAUGGACUUCAGAGAGUUCUUGGUAGAAGACUCAAAGAGCCACCUGUCAUGAGACAUCCCACUUCCUUCCCCAGGUUACUUCCAAGACUGAGCAGCCAGGUUUUUGGUAGAUGAGAACAAAUGUUUCUUCCUGAAGCCCUGGGGCUUCAGGUAGGAAGAAGGACUGCUAUACUUGUUCUCACCCUUGGCUUCUGGCUGCUCCAGUUAAACAUGGUUCCCAUUGAUACAGACAUUAGAGUGGGAAAGGACUUCGUUCAUAGACCGAAGACCCUCAAAGGAAAGUCCUUCCAUUUUGGGAAGGGUGACAUUGAUUUCGUUUAGCUGCUUAAGAUAUGUACUUGCUGUUGUCUUGUGAGACAUGACAUCUGAAGCUGAAGAGGAGUCCCUCUCAUUGUUGUCAUUGUCCCACCGGGACUGAAAGUCUCCCAGUUGAGGCAGCAUUUUAGCUUUGAUGUCUACAGGGCAAUCAUGGAUCAGGAAAUUUCUGCAAAUUAGACUUGGAAAACAAGGUCUUGAUCCUUCUUGUCUUUGGACGAAGACUAAUCAUCACUUUUGACUGAAGGUGUAGUGCUGGAGACUAUGUUGGAGGCAGCACCUGAUGCACUAUCCAUAUUCUUCCCCUUGAUCUUGUCUUAAAGUUUUCCAAAUGGAUUCCGAGGCUUGUCUUUGAUGAAAAGGUCAAACAUACUGGCAGUCAUGUUGUUUCUCAUAAGCUGGAUGUCAACCUCAAUUUCUCCUCUUUAUCCUUCUCUCCUGGUUUGGAUUUCAAGGUAUACCACCGCAUCUUCCUGCUCCCCUAGUCUGGGUGCAGGUCCUGCAGGUACACCUCGGCGAAGCCCAAGUACAGUAGCAGCAGCACCUCAAAGGUGGCCUCCUCCUCUGACACUGAGGUGGCAUACUUCUCCUUACCCACCUGAAUCACCGAGUACAUGUUGCUUGUACCGUCAGGCUCUUGGUUCUUGGCCCCUGGCCCUAUGCCUGCAACACUGUCACCUGCACGUGGAUUGGGAACCACAUAGCCCCCGGACCUGCUAAGGCCAUUAAGGACAGGAUGGUGAUGCCUCGGCUGACUGACGUGAGAAGAUUGUCAUGACCCAUGGCCUCUACUGCUGUCCUACCAACAGAAACUUCAUAAUGUUGUGCAGGCGUUACCACUACCUAGUUCCAGAACAUUGCCAUCACCCCCAAAAUAAAUCUUGCAUUCAUUAA